AGGUAAGACGUGCUCCUCCUUGUGUCCGUUCUUUGUAAUUAUAUCUUAGCUUAAACUGUUUUUUCAUUUGUUCAUCAGAAUUGAACAAAAGUAGGAAUUGUACUGCAUUCAUUUUCCUCGGUUUGUGAUGUGUUAUUUUUGUUAUUAGCUGCUUUAAAUGAGCCGAUGCGCCAUUUUCGCGCCAUUUUUCGUCCAUUUUGUGUUGACUUUUCUUUCUUUUCCGCGCAAUUUUCAGUUGUUAGGGGGAAGCACUGAAGAAAAUCCUGGACAGCAGGUAAUUCAUGAGGCUGGUACCAUGCUCCCAGAUCUUGGAGGACUUGCAGGAGAGCUGAGUGGCGCCAACAUUCUGGCUCCGGUUCAGCUCUUGGACCGCUGCCACCACUGCAUACACCGCAUCAAAGAGCAGCGCUGAUGAGAGCUGUGUAAGCAGAGGAAGAGAAGAGAGAUAUUGUCCUUCCUGCUCUCAUCCCAGAUGAAGCUGCCCCCCCCUGACCGUACCAAUUACCGUCUCCUCAGCUGCAGUCCCAGAAGCAGCAGGCAAGAUAGCCUUCCAUCUCAUCUCCUCUUUACAAACAGCCCCAUCGUCACUUCCCCUGCAUCCUGAUAUGCAAAUUUUGCAUUAAAAAAAAGCAACACUCUGUUUUAGACCUCAGGGAAAGGCAGAAAAACAAAGAGCUUCACUGCUGUUUUUCUGUUUAAUGGAACAGGAACUGGAACUGGCUUUCGUGUUUGGCGGAUGAGGGAACUGCUCACCAACAUGUUACCGUUCUCGCUCCUGCACCUAAUGUUUGGAAGCAGCGGUGUGCUCAAAAGGUGGAGAUGAAAGCGGUCACUCAACAAGUCUAGUGUUCUCCUGGAGGAUCAUCUCAUGACUCCUGUGUUCCAUGGUCUGUUUUCUUUUUCCUAACACUUUUUGUGUCUGUUUACUUUAUUUUGGAUACUUCAUGGUCUGUUUAUGUAACCCAUCUAGCUUUCUUCUAUAUAACUAUGACAGUGUUACCUCAGCCCAAAACUCAACACAGAAGCCCGACACUAACUAAACAAAGGCCAAAUACUUGCACUCUGUCUGAAUUCUUUUGCUACUCACUAUGUAGUACGUUUGACAUUUUCUAGUACUGUCCAAAUCUACAAUUCCAAAAUUGAGUGCACUACAAA